rnacentral:rRNA from 1 species
CUACGUGCCAGCAGCCGCGGUAAUACGGAGGGUGCGAGCGUUAAUCGGAAUAACUGGGCGUAAAGGGCACGCAGGCGGUGACUUAAGUGAGGUGUGAAAGCCCCGGGCUUAACCUGGGAAUUGCAUUUCAUACUGGGUCGCUAGAGUACUUUAGGGAGGGGUAGAAUUCCACGUGUAGCGGUGAAAUGCGUAGAGAUGUGGAGGAAUACCGAAGGCGAAGGCAGCCCCUUGGGAAUGUACUGACGCUCAUGUGCGAAAGCGUGGGGAGCAAACAGAAUUAGAUACCCUGGUAGUCCACGCUGUAAACGAUGUCGAUUUGGGGGUUGAACUAUAAGUUUGGCGCCCGUAGCUAACGUGAUAAAUCGACCGCCUGGGGAGUACGGCCGCAAGGUUAAAACUCAAAUGAAUUGACGGGGGCCCGCACAAGCGGUGGAGCAUGUGGUUUAAUUCGAUGCAACGCGAAGAACCUUACCUACUCUUGACAUCCAUGGAAUCUUGUAGAGAUAUGAGAGUGC